GACGAACGCUGGCGGCGUGCCUAAUACAUGCAAGUUGAGCGCUGAAGGUUGGUACUUGUACCAACUGGAUGAGCAGCGAACGGGUGAGUAACGCGUGGGGAAUCUGCCUUUGAGCGGGGGACAACAUUUGGAAACGAAUGCUAAUACCGCAUAAAAACUUUAAACACAAGUUUUAAGUUUGAAAGAUGCAAUUGCUUCACUCAAAGAUGAUCCCGCGUUGUAUUAGCUAGUUGGUGAGGUAAAGGCUCACCAAGGCGAUGAUACAUAGCCGACCUGAGAGGGUGAUCGGCCACAUUGGGACUGGGACACGGCCCAAACUCCUACGGGAGGCAGCAGUAGGGAAUCUUCGGCAAUGGACGAAAGUCUGACCGAACAACGCCGCGGGAGGGAAGAAGGGUUUCGGAUCGUAAAACUCGGUUGGUAGAGAAGAACGUUGGUGAGAGUGGAAAGCUCAUCAAGUGACGGUAACUACCCAGAAAGGGACGGCUAACUACGUG
rnacentral:rRNA from 1 species